rnacentral:rRNA from 1 species
AGCGAACGCUGGCGGCAUGCCUAACACAUGCAAGUCGAACGAACCUUCCGGGGUUAGUGGCGGACGGGUGAGUAACACGUGGGAACGUGCCCUUAGGUUCGGAAUAACUCAGGGAAACGUGUGCUAAUACCGAACGUGCCCUUCGGGGGAAAGAUUAAUCGCCUUUAGAGCGGCCCGCGUCUGAUUAGCUAGUUGGUUGAGGUAAUGGCUCACCAAGGCGACGAUCAGUAGCUGGUCUGAGAGGAUGAUCAGCCACAUUGGGACUGAGACACGGCCCAAACUCCUACGGGAGGCAGCAGUGGGUAAUCUUGCGCAAUGGGCGAAAGCAUGACGCAGCCAUGCCGGGUGAAUGAUGAAGGUCUUAGGAUUGUAAAAUUCUUUCACCGGGGACGAUAAUGACGGUACCCGGAGAAGAAGCCCCGGCUAACUUCGUG